AUGGGCGAGAGCCUGAACCAGCCAAGUAGCGUGCAGGAUGACGGCCCUAUGGGUUGUAAACUGCUUUUUAAGGGGAAUAAAGAGUGGCACGUGUGCCCUGUUGCAUGUACCCUUGGAAUAAGGACCGGCUAAUUCCGUGCCAGCAGCCGCGGUAAUACGGAAGGUCCGGGUGUUAUCCGGAUUUAUUGGGUUUAAAGGGAGCGUAAGCCGCAGGUUAAGUGUGUUGUGAAAAGCAGUCGCCCAACGUCUGCCUUGCAGCGCAAACUGUCCUGCUUGAGUGCGCACAACGCAGGCGGAAUUCGUCGUGUAGCGGUGAAAUGCUUAGAUAUGACGAAGAACUCCGAUUGCGAAGGCAGCUUGCGGGAGCGCAACUGACGCUGAAGCUCGAAAGUGCGGGUAUCGAACAGGAUUAGAUACCCUGGUAGUCCGCACGGUAAACGCUGGAUGCCCGUUUUUGGCUUAUUUUAAGUCAGAGACCAAGCGAAAGCAUUAAGCAUCCCACCUGGGGAGUACGCCGGCAACGGUGAAACUCAAAGGAAUUGACGGGGGCCCGCACAAGCGGAGGAACAUGUGGUUUAAUUCGAUGAUACGCGAGGAACCUUACCCGGGCUUGAAUUGCCAGAGACAGCUCCAGAGAUGGAGCCUCCCUUCGGGGCUCUGGUGAAGGUGCUGCAUGGUUGUCGUCAGCUCGUGCCGUGAGGUGUCGGCUUAA
rnacentral:rRNA from 1 species